UACGUAGGGCGCAAGCGUUAUCCGGAAUUAUUGGGCGUAAAGCGCGCGUAGGCGGCCCUGUAAGUCCGUUGUGAAAGUCAAAGGCUCAACCUUUGAAAGCCGAUGGAUACUGCAGGGCUAGAGUCCGGAAGAGGCGAGUGGAAUUCCUGGUGUAGCGGUGGAAUGCGCAGAUAUCAGGAGGAACACCAAUAGCGAAGGCAGCUCGCUGGGACGGUACUGACGCUAAGGCGCGAAAGCGUGGGGAGCGAACAGG
rnacentral:rRNA from 1 species